rnacentral:rRNA from 1 species
GAUGAACGCUGGCGGCGUGCCUAAUACAUGCAAGUCGAGCGAAUGGAUUAAGAGCUUGCUCUUAUGAAGUUAGCGGCGGACGGGUGAGUAACACGUGGGUAACCUGCCCAUAAGACUGGGAUAACUCCGGGAAACCGGGGCUAAUGCCGGAUAAUAUUUUGAACUGCAUGGUUCAAAAUUGAAAGGCGGCUUCGGCUGUCACUUAUGGAUGGACCCGCGUCGCAUUAGCUAGUUGGUGAGGUAACGGCUCACCAAGGCAACGAUGCGUAGCCGACCUGAGAGGGUGAUCGGCCACACUAGGACUGAAACACGGCCCAGACGCCUACGGGAGGCAGCAGUAGGGAAUCGUCCGCAAUUGACGAAAGUCUGACGGAGCAACUCCGCGUGAGUGAUGAAGGCUUUCGGGUCGUAAAACUCUGUUGUUAGGGAAGAACAAGUGCUAGUUGAAUAAGCUGGCACCUUGACGGUACCUAACCAGAAAGCCACGGCUAACUACGUGCCAGCCGCCGCGGUAA